rnacentral:rRNA from 1 species
AACACGACUCUCGGCAACGGAUAUCUCGGCUCUCGCAUCGAUGAAGAACGUAGCAAAAUGCGAUACCUGGUGUGAAUUGCAGAAUCCCGUGAACCAUCGAGUUUUUGAACGCAAGUUGCGCCCGAGGCCUUCUGGUCGAGGGCACGCCUGCCUGGGCGUCACGUC